UACGGAGGGUGCAAGCGUUAUCCGGAUUCACUGGGUUUAAAGGGUGCGUAGGCGGGCAGGUAAGUCCGUGGUGAAAUCUCUGAGCUUAACUCAGAAACUGCCAUGGAUACUAUUUGUCUUGAAUAUUGUGGAGGUAAGCGGAAUAUGUCAUGUAGCGGUGAAAUGCUUAGAUAUGACAUAGAACACCAAUUGCGAAAGGCAGCUUACUACACAGUUAUUGACGCUAAGGCACGAAAGCGUGGGGAUCAAACAGG
rnacentral:rRNA from 1 species